rnacentral:rRNA from 1 species
CGCUGGCGGGCGUGCUUAAACACAUGCAAAGUCGAAACGGGGAUCUGACCCAGCUUGGCUGGUUGGGUGAGAGUGGCGAAACGGGUGAGGUAAUGCGUGACCAACCUGCCCCAUGCUCCAGAAUAGCUCUUGGAAACGGGUGGUAAUGCUGGAUGCUCCAACUUGACGCAUGUCUUUGUUGGGAAAGUGUUUAGUGGCAUGGGGAUGGGGUCGCGUCCUAUCAGCUUGUAGGCGGGGGUAAUGGCCCCCACCCUAGGCUUCGACGGGUAGCCGGCCUGAGAGGGCGGACGGCCACAUUGGGACUGAGAUACGGCCCAGACUCCUACGGGGAGGCAGCAGUGGGGAAUAUUGCGCAAUGGGGGAAACCCUGACGCAGCGACGCCGCGUGCGGGAUGAAGGCCUUCGGGUUGUAAACCGCUUUUGAUUGGGAGCAAGCCUUUUGGGUGAGUGUACCUUUCGAAUAAGCGCCGGCUAACUACGUGCCAGCAGCCGCGGUAAU